CUACGGGAGGCAGGAGUAAGGAAUAUUGGUCAAUGGAGGCAACUCUGAACCAGCCAUGCCGCGUGCAGGAUGACGGCCCUAUGGGUUGUAAACUGCUUUUGUACAAGAGAAAACCCCAGUACGUGUACUGGGUUGGUAGUAUUGUAAGAAUAAGCAUCGGCUAACUUCGUGCCAGCAGCCGCGGUAAGACGAAGGAUGCAAGCGUUAUCCGGAUUCAUUGGGUUUAAAGGGUGCGUAGGCGGAUUGGUAAGUCAGUGGUGAAAGCCGGCAGCUUAACUGUCGAAUUGCCAUUGAUACUGUCGAUCUAGAGUAUAGAUGACGUUGGCGGAAUAUGACAUGUAGUGGUGAAAUACUUAGAUAUGUCAUAGAACACCGAUUGCGAAGGCAGCUAACGAAACUAUAACUGACGCUGAGGCACGAAAGUGCGGGGAUCAAACAGGAUUAGAUACCCCGGUAGUCC
rnacentral:rRNA from 1 species